AUGAAGAGCUUGUUGGAAGUAUUUAAUGAGUGGGAGAUCCAACAACUUGUGCUUCUUAGCUUUAUGCUACAGAUGUUCUUGUUUGGUACUGGCGGCAACCUUCGGCAGCGUAGCAGCAACGCGCUCCUUAGAGGCACCAUCUGGAUAGCUUACCUCGGGGCAGACAUGGUAGCAGUUUAUGCCUUGGGUUUUCUCUCAAAGAAUGAAGAGCACACCACCCAAGAGUCUGGCACACUAACAGAAAACCAUCCGCUGGCCUUCUUCUGGGCUCCUUUCCUCCUCAUUCAUCUUGGUGGACAGGACACCAUAACUGCUUUUGCGAUCGAGGACAACAACUUGUGGUUAAGGCAUUUGCUGAAUUUGAUAAUCCAAGUGGUCCUAGCCCUGUAUGUCUUUUGGAAGUCACCUGGUUGGCGCAAUGUGCAGCUUCUUGUUCCAGGCGUAUUUCUGUUUGUUGCUGGAAUCAUCAAGUAUGCGGAGAGGACAUUGGCUCUCAAGUACGGGAUCAUCAGUGGCUUCAAAGGCGAAGGAGGAAAGAAGCCUAACCUAAAUCAGGAUGCUAGCUACUCUAGCAUUGUUCGACACGUACUGAAUGAAGCACAGUUGGCCAAGCUGGUUAAUGUUGAACUUGGUAUCAUGUAUCAUGAUCUCUACACCAAGGCUGCGGUGCUGCGGACAAGGAGCGUCACUGUGCUCCGCUGCAUCUCUCAAGUAUCGGCUACAGUUGCUCUUGUGCUCUUCUGUACCAGCGAUAAGCGACGGCACAACAGAGUCGACAUUUUAAUCACCUACAUAUUAUUUACCGGAGUCCUGUUGCUGGAAGUUUGUUCUGUGCUAAUGAUGGUGAUGGUGUCACCUUGGACUUGGGCCUGGUUGAAGGACCAACAGAAAUGCCGUUGGCUCGCCAACAUAUCGUGGACUCUUGUAUCCAGCAACAUUAUUGGAUGGCCAGAGGAGAGGCCAUUGUGGUCGAACAGCAUGGGGCAAUACAGCUUCCUGAGCUACAUGGGAUGCGAGGAGAAGCCGAGUAGCCUGCCAGGAUGUGUGAUGAGACUGAUCAGGAAGGUGGCACGAGCAUUUGGAGCUGGUGGCGAGGACAAGGUGCUUUGGAUCAGCAAGCUGUUAGAUACCAAGUGUGAGGCCGUCGAUAAGGAGAUCACAGAAUGUAUUGCCAAGUGGAUCACAUCAUAUGGCGGCAUGGAUAGAUCGAGCAGUGCAAGCCAGCAACACUGGCCUCAUCUCGGCCAGUUCCUGAAGAAUCGCAUGAUGGAGGGCGUCGCCGAUUUCAGUGGUUUCGUAGUCUGGUUGCAUAUCUUCACGGAGGUAUACAUGAGCCACGUUGGCACCAUGGAUAAGGACAUGGUUGCUCUGGCUGGUGUCUGCCGAAAACUAUCCAACUACAUGUUCUACCUGGUAGUUGCACACCCAGCUUCCAUGGUGCAGGCCACCGCCGGCAAUCCGGAACUAGCACUAGAAGCAAUGCGGAAGGUUGUUAAGGAAAGAUCAAACUACAGCGACAAGGCUGCCGUUCUGCGAAGUUUUAAGGAGGCCUUCCUCAGCGGCGAGGCGAUUCAGGACAUGUUGACGUCGACGUGCAGAGAAGCGCUAGAGGAAAUAAGAGAUAUGUGGGUGAGGCUCAUUGUGUACACCGCCGGGAAGUCCCGGCCAGAGAUGCACGCAGCGCAGCUGGCCAGAGGAGGAGAGCUCCUCACCUUUGUCUGGCUGCAGAUGGCGCACAAGAUGCUCGGUGAUGCAGGGGAGCACAUUAUCGAGCUUAUAAAUACACGCACUGCUCCCAGCCUUGAGAUACUGUACGCCUUCGAUUUCCCUCGACAUGAUUGA
rnacentral:rRNA from 1 species